AGAGUUUGAUCAUGGCUCAGAUUGAACGCUGGCGGCAGGCCUAACACAUGCAAGUCGAGCGGUAGCACAGAGAGCUUGCUCUCGGGUGACGAGCGGCGGACGGGUGAGUAAUGUCUGGGAAACUGCCUGAUGGAGGGGGAUAACUACUGGAAACGGUAGCUAAUACCGCAUAAUGUCGCAAGACCAAAGUGGGGGACCUUCGGGCCUCAUGCCAUCAGAUGUGCCCAGAUGGGAUUAGCUAGUAGGUGGGGUAACGGCUCACCUAGGCGACGAUCCCUAGCUGGUCUGAGAGGAUGACCAGCCACACUGGAACUGAGACACGGUCCAGACUCCUACGGGAGGCAGCAGUGGGGAAUAUUGCACAAUGGGCGCAAGCCUGAUGCAGCCAUGCCGCGUGUGUGAAGAAGGCCUUCGGGUUGUAAAGCACUUUCAGCGGGGAGGAAGGCGNUCGAUUGACGUUACCCGCAGAAGAAGCACCGGCUAACUCCGUGCCAGCAGCCGCGGUAAUACGGAGGGUGCAAGCGUUAAUCGGAAUUACUGGGCGUAAAGCGCACGCAGGCGGUCUGUCAAGUCGGAUGUGAAAUCCCCGGGCUCAACCUGGGAACUGCAUUCGAAACUGGCAGGCUAGAGUCUUGUAGAGGGGGGUAGAAUUCCAGGUGUAGCGGUGAAAUGCGUAGAGAUCUGGAGGAAUACCGGUGGCGAAGGCGGCCCCCUGGACAAAGACUGACGCUCAGGUGCGAAAGCGUGGGGAGCAAACAGGAUUAGAUACCCUGGUAGUCCACGCCGUAAACGAUGUCGAUUUGGAGGUUGUGCCCUUGAGGCGUGGCUUCCGGAGCUAACGCGUUAAAUCGACCGCCUGGGGAGUACGGCCGCAAGGUUAAAACUCAAAUGAAUUGACGGGGGCCCGCACAAGCGGUGGAGCAUGUGGUUUAAUUCGAUGCAACGCGAAGAACCUUACCUGGUCUUGACAUCCACAGAACUUAGCAGAGAUGCUUUGGUGCCUUCGGGAACUGUGAGACAGGUGCUGCAUGGCUGUCGUCAGCUCGUGUUGUGAAAUGUUGGGUUAAGUCCCGCAACGAGCGCAACCCUUAUCCUUUGUUGCCAGCGGUCCGGCCGGGAACUCAAAGGAGACUGCCAGUGAUAAACUGGAGGAAGGUGGGGAUGACGUCAAGUCAUCAUGGCCCUUACGACCAGGGCUACACACGUGCUACAAUGGCAUAUACAAAGAGAAGCGACCUCGCGAGAGCAAGCGGACCUCAUAAAGUAUGUCGUAGUCCGGAUUGGAGUCUGCAACUCGACUCCAUGAAGUCGGAAUCGCUAGUAAUCGUAGAUCAGAAUGCUACGGUGAAUACGUUCCCGGGCCUUGUACACACCGCCCGUCACACCAUGGGAGUGGGUUGCAAAAGAAGUAGGUAGCUUAACCUUCGGGAGGGCGCUUACCACUUUGUGAUUCAUGACUGGGGUGAAGUCGUAACAAGGUAACCGUAGGGGAACCUGCGGUUGGAUCACCU
rnacentral:rRNA from 1 species